AAUUUAUUUAGAGCAUGAUGAACCCAGCCGUUAGCAGGAAGGCGGCACAACAACGUCAGCGGCGCACCUACAGAGUGAGAAGAGAUAUUUUCGCUGAGUACGACGAUGCUGAGUUACUGAAAAGAUUCAGAUUGGACCGUGCUGGUAUUGUUGCAGUGACUGAUAUAGUGAGAGACAAGCUGCAAAGUAAAACUGAAAGAAAUAGAGCCUUGACCCCUGAGAUGGUGGCCAUCACAUUACGAUAUUUAGCCACAGGAAAAAUGCAACAGUGCAGUUGUGAUGAUUUUGGAACAACGCAGCCCACUAUCAGCCGUGCAAUAUCACAGACAAUUGAUGCACUGGCUGACCCAGAAGUAAUCUGCCAGUUCGUGGCUUUCCCUCACACCCAGCGUGAAGUGCAGCAAAAACAGGCAGAGUUCAUGCAAGUAACUCAGUUUCCCGGUGUUGUGGGAGUGAUUGAUGGCACUCAUAUAAGAAUUGUGUCUCCUCAUGUCGAUGAACAUGUAUAUGUGAACAGGAAACGCUAUCACAGCAUAAAUGUGCAAGUAGUAUUUGAUGCUCACUAUAAGAUUCUUGACAUUGUGGCAAGGUGGCCUGGCUCAGUCAACGAUGCAAGAAUACUAGAUAAGUCAGCACUCAAACUGAUGUUUGAGGAACAACAUGUACCUGCAGGAUGCUACCUUCCCGGGGACAGUGGCUAUCCCUGUAAGCAGUGGCUCCUCACUCCUUACCUUCGCCCUCAAACUGUUGCACAAGCUAAUUAUAACAGUUCCAGUACCUUACGAUGCAGCCGAGGGGACUGACGCCACCACCACCACUGCCACCACCGCCACAACAAGGGUUAUUCAAGUGGGGAACAUGCUUCAGGUGUUGCCCCAAGAUGCCUCAGCCCCGCAGCCCCACUUCCCCAUGAUAGUGCAGGCAGGGAAUGUCAUACAGGUUGUUCCAGCUGACAACACGCAGGUAUUAGGGGCAGAAGUCGUUGGAGUUGGUCGGGUCAUGCAAGUGGUCGGAGUCCCAGGCUUUCCCCCGACCCCAGCCCCAGACCCCUGCCCCAGCCACCCCUCUCCCUGUGACCCCUGCCCAGUCAUCCCUCACCCCCUCCUGCCCCCUGCGGUGCUGCCAGCGGGGGUGAUGGGAGGUGGAGGUGGGCCACACACACCUGGGUUAGCUGUGGCUUGGCUUAUCUCCCUCCUCAGCAGCAAAUCCCGAGGAUCAACGAGGACAUGGUGGACCCAGAGAUUGCAGCAGCAGCAAGAGAGAGAGAGAGAAGCAAGAGAGGAGGGAGAGGAAGGAGAGGAGGAGGAGAGAGAGGGAGGCCAGGAGGGAGGCACGUCAGAGAGAGAGGGAGAGGAAGAGGUUGAUUCUGUUACAACAACAACUGCAACAACAACAACAGUUAGUCAGUGAGGAGGGGGAGGGGCCGUCCUCUGAUGCUGAGGAUGAGGUAUUGUUCAGGGAGGCCAUGUCGGAGGUGCCGGUGGUGGGGUCGCCAGUUCCGGAGUACGAGGUGGAGGAGGAAAAGGAAGAGGAGGACGAGGAGGAGGCACGGAUAAGGAAGAAGAAAAGAUUAUUAGCUGUAGCCCUCCCUCCAGCUGAUAAGGGGAUAAGCCAUAGUAAGCCACAGCUUACUAUGUUCAACAGAUGCCUGAAGGAAGUGUGUGUAAGGGAGGAUAAAGAGAUCAUGCUGGCCUAUGCAGACGAUGUCGCUGUCGUGACAGGAAGCCAACAAGAUCUUCAAGAGGCCAUGACAAGAUGGAAUGAUGUUUUAAAUAGGGAAGGAAUGAGAAUGAACAAACAAAAAACUUAUUUACUAGUGGACAAGCAACAAGUGAUGGUGUGGCUCUGAGCCACUGUAGUAGGGAUGUUAUGGUUUAAGUGUAGGAAGUUGCAAAUGCUCACCUAACAAUUGCACCUUAGUAGAAAAACACAAACAGGAAGUUUAUGCAAGUUUUUAUCCUUAUAUAAAAUGUUGUAUUGCAUCAAACCUCCAUACAUUACUGUCUCUAUCCAGUAUGAGACCGGUGUUCAGGAAGCACAAGCAUGUGCUGAAUAACAAGAAGCCGGCAUUGGUGAAGGUGACAACAUUUCAUCUAUUUAUACAUACUUUUUAUUAUUAAAGCUUAUCUUAUAAUUAUUUCUGAAGAGAUUGACUAAUUUUUGUAGUAUUUAUGACUUAGAACUAUGAUAAAGCUAUGAAUUGAUAUAAUUCCUGAUUUG